GACGAACGCUGGCGGCGUGCCUAAUACAUGCAAGUCGAGCGAAUCAAUAGGAGCUUGCUCCUGUUGGUUAGCGGCGGACGGGUGAGUAACACGUGGGCAACCUGCCUGUAAGACUGGGAUAACACCGGGAAACCGGUGCUAAUACCGGAUAAUCCUUUUCCUCUCAUGAGGAAAAGCUGAAAGUCGGUUUCGGCUGACACUUACAGAUGGGCUCGGGGCGCAUUAGUUAGUUGGUGAGGUAACGGCUCACCAAGGCCACGAUGCGUAGCCGACCUGAGAGGGUGAUCGGCCACACUGGGACUGAGACACGGCCCAGACUCCUACGGGAGGCAGCAGUAGGGAAUCUUCCACAAUGGACGAAAGUCUGAUGGAGCAACGCCGCGUGAGCGAUGAAGGCCUUCGGGUCGUAAAGCUCUGUUGUUAGGGAAGAACAAGUAUCGGAGUAACUGCCGGUACCUUGACGGUACCUAACCAGAAAGCCACGGCUAACUACGUGCCAGCCGCCGCCGUAAUAC
rnacentral:rRNA from 1 species